rnacentral:rRNA from 1 species
AUUGAACGCUGGCGGCAGGCCUAACACAUGCAAGUCGAACGGUAGCACAGAGAGCUUGCUCUCGGGUGACGAGUGGCGGACGGGUGAGUAAUGUCUGGGAAACUGCCUGAUGGAGGGGGAUAACUACUGGAAACGGUAGCUAAUACCGCAUAACGUCGCAAGACCAAAGAGGGGGACCUUCGGGCCUCUUGCCAUCAGAUGUGCCCAGAUGGGAUUAGCUAGUAGGUGGGGUAACGGCUCACCUAGGCGACGAUCCCUAGCUGGUCUGAGAGGAUGACCAGCCACACUGGAACUGAGACACGGUCCAGACUCCUACGGGAGGCAGCAGUGGGGAAUAUUGCACAAUGGGCGCAAGCCUGAUGCAGCCAUGCCGCGUGUAUGAAGAAGGCCUUCGGGUUGUAAAGUACUUUCAGCGGGGAGGAA